GACAGAGGGUGCAAACGUUGUUCGGAAUUACUGGGCGUAAAGGGCUCGUAGGCGGCCAACUCAGUCGGACGUGAAAUCCCUCGGCUUAACCGGGGAAUGGCGUCCGAUACUGGAUGGCUUGAGUUUGGGAGAGGGAUGCGGAAUUCCAGGUGUAGCGGUGAAAUGCGUAGAUAUCUGGAGGAACACCGGUGGCGAAGGCGGCAUCCUGGACCAACACUGACGCUGAGGAGCGAAAGCCAGGGGAGCAAACGGG
rnacentral:rRNA from 1 species